GGAGGCAUGGCUCAGUGGUAGAGCACUUGCUUAGCAUGUGGGAGGCCCUGGGUUCAAUCCCCAGCACCA
rnacentral:tRNA from 1 species